rnacentral:misc_RNA from 1 species
AAGUCGUAACAAGGUUUCCGUAGGUGAACCUGCGGAAGGAUCAUUAACAACAUAUCCUAACUAAAAAACCCUGUGAACUUUCAAUGUCCCGAACCUUUGAUCCGAGGACUUCAGCAAUCUCUGGUAAAUCAUCGCCGAACAGUUUUGAUUCAGGGACUUCUGCGAAGAGUGUGCUUGUAGCGCGAGGCAAGUGGCCUGGCAUCCUUGUCUGAAAGUGUCAAGGGUGGCGCAGUCACGAUCGCUAGAGGCCGACACGGCCGGCGACCGGGUCACCGGGCUCACGCCCCUUAAUAACCUUUGCAUGAAAACGGGCCUGCGCUUAAUUGUGCGGCCAUAAACCGAACAACUGUUAACAAUGGAUAUCUUGGUUCUC